rnacentral:rRNA from 1 species
GACGAACGCUGGCGGCGUGCUUAACACAUGCAAGUCGAACGGUGAACGAGGGAGCUUGCUCCUCCGGAUCAGUGGCGAACGGGUGAGUAACACGUGAGCAAUCUGCCCCGAACUCUGGGAUAAGCGUUGGAAACGACGUCUAAUACCGGAUACGACGCGGGAGGGCAUCCUCUCCGCGUGGAAAGAACUUCGGUUCGGGAUGAGCUCGCGGCCUAUCAGCUUGUUGGUGAGGUAACGGCUCACCAAGGCGACGACGGGUAGCCGGCCUGAGAGGGUGACCGGCCACACUGGGACUGAGACACGGCCCAGACUCCUACGGGAGGCAGCAGUGGGGAAUAUUGCACAAUGGGCGCAAGCCUGAUGCAGCAACGCCGCGUGAGGGACGACGGCCUUCGGGUUGUAAACCUCUUUUAGCAGGGAAGAAGCGAAAGUGACGGUACCUGCAGAAAAAGCACCGGCUAACUACGUG